rnacentral:pre_miRNA from 1 species
AAGUGGUUCUUAACAGUUCAACAGUUCUUUGACAAAAUUGUGAAAUGUUUAGGACCACUUGA